UUUUCGCAGCCCCAACGGUUCCAACCGUUGGGGCCUUUUUUUCGCAAUGGAGGGAAUCUUCCCUCCCUUUUUUUCCCAAAAAAAAAAAGAAAAAAAACACAAAAGGCCCCCGUGAACCCAUUUACUUCUUCGUUCCCCCUCUAUCAAAAACCCCCAAAUCUCCUUUGCCGCCGCUCAGAGACUCCCGCCACCGCCUCUUGGAGAUCACCUCUGCCACCGCCGCAGUUGCUCGGAGAUCUCCUCUUUUCACUGCUCAGAGAUAGUUACCGUCGCUGCUCAGAGAUGGCCGCUGCCACCACCGCCACUCUCUCCCCUAAAAACCCUAGCCUUCGCCACCAUGAACUGCAGCCACGCCGCUCUGUCCCCUCUUUUCAGCUGCUCGGAGAUGGUCACUGGAAACCCUAGCGCAGAGGAUCUGGAAACCCUCACCUCCCUCGCCUCAUUGGACUCCGCUACCUCCCCUAACUCAACUUCCCUCUCGGGUGUGGCUAAACCCUGGCAAUCUGCAAGCCCUCUAUUUCUACAUCGUCAUCUGCCGAUGCGUCUACGAAUAGGGCUGAAAAUUGGUGGAUUGACUUUGUUAGGCGCCAAAGAGGGACUGAUGAUGCCGUUGCAAAUGGGUGUGGGGUAAAAGCCCGUCAGCUUUGGUUUCUUAACCAGAAAACAGAUUGUAACCUUGUUCCGGGUAGCUCUAUAAUCACCACUUGAAAUUAUGACAUGAAACUUCGAGAUUACAUUAUGGUCGCAUAGUGGACAUUGAAUUGAAGAAUCCACCUCCCCCUGGUUAUUGUUUUGUGGAGUUCGAAAGUGCUCGAGAUGCUGAUGAUGCUGUCAGGGGUUGUGAUGGCUAUAACUUUGAUGGAUACCGUUUGAGGGUAUACUGGAAAUGUUAACUUGCUUUGUAGGCCUCGUUAGAAGAUUGAAUAAGAGAACUACUUAAGGCAUACUCCAAAUGUGAGACAAGUGCAUAAAUUAUCUCGGUCCAAAAUGCGUGGCUUUCAAAUAACUCAAGAAUUCCUAAACAACUUCUAGACACGAAAGGAACUGAGGAGGCGCCUUCAAAAGCCUGUCUUGGAUCUGAUUACGAUUCAGAAGAUGGACUUCCACCUUUGGAAGAGAACUUGAACCACUUGAAGUUGGAGGACAGUGAAGAAAGUGAAGAAGAGGAUGAAUGAGGAAUCCUUUCAUCUUACAGUUCAUGAAUAAAAGAAUAGGAACAUUUAGUAUUGUGCUUCAUCGAAGCUCCACUAUGUUUUAUAUUGUGUUUUGUUGUCUACAUAGAAGAAUGAUAGCUUGUUAUAUAGUUGCUGGUUUAAAUUAUGUACUCAGAGGUUGUCAAUCUGGUCGCAAAGCAUUUGGAUGUAUAAUAGAACCCAGUUUUGAUUAAAGCUUAUGAAUACAAAUGUUAUCUUUUGUCACA